ACCUGCCGCUGAAUAUAUAGGCGGUGUGGAGGGAACGUGGGGAAGUGAAACAUCUCAGUACCCACAGGAAGAGAAAACAAUUGUGAUUCCGUGAGUAGUGGCGAGCGAAAGCGGAUGAGGCUAAACCAGGUAGAUGUGAUACUCGGCAGAGGUUGUCUAUUUGGUGUUGUGGGGUCAUUCUUCUCAGUCCUGCCGGGCUGGGCGGGAGUCAGAAACCGUUGUGUUAGUCGAAGUGGUCUGGAACGGCCUGUCGUAGAGGGUGAGAAUCCCGUAGACGAAAAUGCAACGGCUCUCGUGGAUGAUGCCCGAGUAGCAGCGGGCCCGUGAAAUCUGCUGUGAAUCUGCCGGGACCACCCGGUAAGCCUGAAUACUCCCUGGUGACCGAUAGCGGACUAGUACCGUGAGGGAAAGGUGAAAAGUACCCCGGGA
rnacentral:rRNA from 1 species